ensembl:lncRNA
AGUUGUUCCCAGUAGUAUUAUCGGGUCUGUUUAUUAUUCUCAGUAGUAUUAUUGGGUCUGUUAGUUGUUCUCAGUAGUAUUAUUGGGUCUGUUAGUUGUUCCCAGUAGUAUUAUCGGGUCUGUUAUUAGUUCUCACUAGUAUUAUCGGGUCUGUUAGUAGUUCUCCCUAGUAUUUAUCAGGUCUGUUAGUAGUUCUCAGUAGUAUUAUCGGGUCUGUUAGUUGUUCUCAGUAGUAUUAUUGGGUCUGUUAGUAGUUCUCAGUAGUAUUAUCGGGUCUGUUAUUAGUUCUCAGUAGUAUUAUCGGGUCUGUUUGUAGUUCUCCCUAGUAUUAUCUAGUAGUUCUCAG